rnacentral:rRNA from 1 species
UACGUAGGGGGCAAGCGUUGUCCGGAUUUAUUGGGCGUAAAGAGCGUGUAGGCGGCCACACAGGUCAGCUGUGAAAACUCGAGGCUCAACCUCGAGACGUCGGUUGAAACCGUAUGGCUAGAGUCCGGAAGAGGAGAGUGGAAUUCCCGGUGUAGCGGUGAAAUGCGCAGAUAUCGGGAAGAACACCCGUGGCGAAGGCGGCUCUCUGGGACGGUACUGACGCUGAGACGCGAAAGCGUGGGGAGCGAACGGG